GAAAUGGGAGCAGAGCAGGUUU
rnacentral:miRNA from 2 species